rnacentral:snRNA from 1 species
AUCACUUCUCGGCCUUUUGGCUAAGAUCAAGUGUAG